rnacentral:sRNA from 1 species
GACUCGAGCGCCAGCGAGAGAGCGUUGCCGCAGGCAACGACCUGAAGGGCGAAGCGCGCAGCGCUGAGUAAUCCUUCCCCCACCACCA